CCCAGCCCCAAGCUGGGCCCAUUGCGGGCCAAGGGAUCCUCUGCCUGGCAUCCCAGGUGAGUGCCCACGGGUGAGCACCGGGUGCAUGGUGGAGGGUUUCAAAGGCCGGGGGGCCUCGCUGGCCCCCCGGCUAGCUAGGGCCAUGUUAGGGCUACUGACCGACUGCAACAUCCAACCUUAGCUCACGGGUGCUAAGUCUGUGUUGUUAUUGAGGCUGAGCUUUGUCUAGGAGAUUGCCUGCUUGAAGGUCUUGCCACAGGUUCUGCUGGGGGUGAGAAGAUGGAGAUGAAGAUGGAGACGAAGAUGGAGACGAAGAUGGAGGUGGAGGUAGUGGUAAUGGUGGAGCAGGAGCUGGCUGCAGCAAACAGCAGAGCCUGAACUCCAGAGGCACCAUGAAGUCCACCCAAGAAGAGUAGAGCAGCAGCAGCACUGCAGCCCAGCGGGACCUGCUUGGUGUCAUUGUCCAGGAGCCAACCUGGUUUUGUCCCAGCAUUUUCUGGGUUAAAGCCUGGUGUCAAACCAGAGAAGGUGUUGAAGCAAAGCCUGGCUGAGGCACUUAGUGCCAUGGUCUGGUUGGCUGGACAGGGCUGGGUGCUAGGUUGGGCUGGCUGAGCUUGGAGGUCUCUUCCAACCUGGUUGAUUCUAUGAGUCUAGGGAACUAUUCCUGAUUCCACACGGUUGGUGCUGGGUUGAGCAGCAUUCCA